GGAAUAUGAUGAGUGGUCACAACUCGCACUUCAAUAUGCGAGACGAGUGUUCGCCCCAAGCCUGGUUACGACAAUGGGGCACUCUCACUUGUACCCAUCUGAUUCC
rfam:Daucus carota subsp. sativus cultivar DH1 chromosome 3, whole genome shotgun sequence.